CGAGCAUAAAAGUAGACAAUACUUGGUGGCGACCGGCGCACGGGUGAGUAACGCGUAUGCAACCUACCUAUCAGAGGGGAAUAACCCGGCGAAAGUCGGACUAAUACCGCAUAAAACAGGGCACCGCAUGGUGAUAUUUGUUAAAGAAAUUCGCUGAUAGAUGGGCAUGCGUUCCAUUAGGUAGUUGGUGAGGUAACGGCUCACCAAGCCGACGAUGGAUAGGGGAACUGAGAGGUUGGUCCCCCACACUGGUACUGAGACACGGACCAGACUCCUACGGGAGGCAGCAGUGAGGAAUAUUGGUCAAUGGGCGGGAGCCUGAACCAGCCAAGCCGCGUGAAGGAAGAAGGAUCUAUGGUUCGUAAACUUCUUUUGCAGGGGAAUAAAGUGCAGGACGUGUCCUGUUUUGUAUGUACCCUGAGAAUAAGGAUCGGCUAACUCCGUGCCAGCCGCCGC
rnacentral:rRNA from 1 species